CCACAAGUAGUAACAGACUUGUCGAAUUAUAAAGAGAAAUUUGUUUAGAUUGUGUCACUUCUAAAAAGCUAUAAUUUUAAGAUAAGUAUUAAUGUGGAAGUUAACUUCUCUAAAGCUUCUUUUUGGCUCACCGUAGGGGAGUCUAUACAAUACCGCAGUGUCCGUCGUCCGUCGUCGUCCGUCGUCGUCGUCGUCGUCGUCGUCGUCGUCGUCGUCCGUCUUAUCCUAGUUCGAAAACAGUGGCACGUUUUUUAACCGCUAGGCCUAUGAACUUAAAACUUUGUACACAUGACCCCCUAGGUCAGAUGACCCGUGACAUUAAAUUUCUGUCUGAUCUGAUUCUGUACUUGGCCACCAGGGGGCCAAAUGUGGAUAUCUAAAAAAGUGUGAUAUCUCGCUUAUUAGUGACUUGUUUUCGAUAAAACUUUUGUGGUAGGUACUCAUAGCAAAGAUACAUCAUAUAUCUGACGGGUUUUUGAUUUGUUCUCCUUUUCAAGGUCGCAGAGGUCAAAUGGCGUGAAUUGGCCGUUUGAGUGUAACUAUGGCACGUUUCUCAACCACCAAAGCUCUGAGCUUGAAACUUAGUACAUAUAACCCCAUAUAUCAGAUAACCUCUGGUGCUGAAUUUCAGCCUGAUCUGAUUCUUGACUUUGCCACCAGGGGGCCAAAACAGAAAAAGUAAGAAGUGCAAUAGCCUGCUUAUUAGCAAAUUGUUUUUGAUGAAAUUUUUAUGGCAGGGACCCCUAGCAAGUUUACCUCCGAUGUUGCACGAUUUUUCGGAUUUGACCUACUUUUUAAGGUCGCAGAGGUCAAAUGGCGUAAAUUUGCCAUUUGAGUGUAACUAUGGCACGUUUCUCAACCGCAACAGUUAUGAACUUGAAACUUUAAACAAAUGACCCCCUAGGUCAGUUGACCUUUUACACUGAAUUUUGGUUCGGUCUGAUUAUUGACUUGGCCACCAGGGGGCCCAAACUCAAAACUCAAAAAGUGUGAUUUCUCGCUUAUUACUAGUGUGUUUUUGAUAAAAGUUUCACGGUAGGUACUCCUAGCAAGGAUACAUCACAUAUCUUACGGGUUUUUGAUUUGACCCCCCUUUCAAGUUCACAGAGGUCAAAGUUGAAAACUUUACCGUUCGUGGUACGUUUUGUCGUUGUUCAAUGUAAAGAGUUUUAAUUUUGUGUAAUGAUGCAUCUAAGAAGCCACUAUUUGUAUGCCAAGUUUCAGCCAGAUCGGAAUUCAAAUAUGGCCGAAAUUGCAUGUUUUGUGGGUUUUUCCUCGUAUUGUGGCAAUCCAAAGGUCGUGAGUUCAAACCCCGGUCAAGGACAGCCAAAAAUAUUUUUAUUUUUCAUCUUUUCCUUUUUUCUUUUCUGAGUUCUAUCUUACAUUUUCUUCAUUUUUUGAUUUAUUUGGUGCCAUAGAUUUAAUUAGGCGGCCAUCUUGGAAAUCGAUUUUUGCCGAUUGCUGUAGUGUAACGAGUGAUGAAAUUGUUAUGGUCAGGUGGAUGUGUCUACAUCACAUAUCACCCUGGUUUGUUAUUUGACCUACCUGUCAGGGUCACUGAGGUCAAAGUUAAAAAUAUAUUCACCAUUGUCAUGGAGUGGCACGUUUCUUCACUAUCAUUUUCACCUAGACUCUACAAGCUUGGAACCACAAGUCUCGGAUUCACCACUUGGCCAGGGCCGGCUCUGAACUGGUCACAGAUGCAUGUAUAAAUUAUGAGAGGCCUACAUGAUCAUAGGAAGGGGUGGGUAUCUGAUUUGUCAUACCUUUCAAAAAUGUUAUUGCAGCUCAUAGGUAAUAUUCCAAAUUUAGGCUCCAGCCAAAAGUGGCAGUUGCAAGUACCAGAACUACGAAUUAUGUUUAUGAUUCACUCUCCACCAUUGGGUGGAAAACUUGUACAUGUGACCAUUACUUCUUGGAUUUUAUUGAAAAUUAUUUCAAAGAUGCCACUAGAUUUGUGCACGAAAGGCACCCUAUAAGUAUAGUUGGAGACCAUUCAUAAAUAUGUUGUGCUACUACUGUUGUUUCAAUUCAAUUAGGAGGGAAGGAUUUCUAUGUAGGGUCUGGUUUCUUGCUGUAUUUAGGUUCUACAUCAGUGAAACUAAAAAAAAAGUCAUGUUUGAAAAAUAUUACAAAAUAAUUAAUGCAGUAAAGGCGCUCCAUACAUUGGCCACUUCCUGUUUGUAAUCUUGCAAAAGCCUGCUCAUGUGCUUGAUUUCAGGAUUUUCAAAGUGUUUUUAGUGCAUUUUUGGUUAUUGCUAUUGUUGUUGCUAUUUCUAUGAACAGAUGAAUGAGUGUAUUUGCUGAUGCAGAUCAAGCUUAUCUGGGCCUACAGCGAUUGACACACUUAAAGUAAGGUUGUGUGGUGUUGACACUGAAGUGGUGGUGCGAAGUUGUUGGAGGUUUUGAUAAUCUAACGCAGAUUUGGCUUGCCUGCCGGGUAACUCCAACAUUGGUAACUGUGCAAGUGUUCAUCGCACUUGCGUUUGCCUCUAACCAAGGCCCUCUCACAUUGGUGAGAACAAAGUUCAAGUGUCAGAACGACAAUCUAUAAAACAGACAACUUCAGUAUACACCUUGUAAUUGAACUACAGCACUGUGCAAAAACUUUGAGAAUGUCACAUUCUGCCUUCUCUUCUCCUAAUAAUUCAUUCCUACAUAUUGCAGUCAAGAUGCACACCUUGAGCGAGGAAAGAAUCAUGAAGAAUUGUUAACAAAUGUCAAGAAUUUCUGCAUAAUCCCAAAUUUUUUUCAUCACUGCUGUAAACAUCAUUUGAUUAUACUGUGAUUUAUCAAUCAUUCAUUGUCACUGCACCUCAUUUUUAA